CUACGGGUUGCUCCAGUGGGGAAUAUUGCACAAUGGGGGAAACCCUGAUGCAGCAACGCCGCGUGAAGGAAGAAGGUUUUCGGAUUGUAAACUUCUAUCAGCAAGGAAGAUAAUGACGGUACUUGACUAAGAAGCCCCGGCUAACUACGUGCCAGCAGCCGCGGUAAUACGUAGGGGGCAAGCGUUAUCCGGAAUUACUGGGUGUAAAGGGAGCGUAGACGGUAAUAUAAGUCAGAUGUGAAAGCCCGAGGCUCAACCUCGGGACUGCAUUUGAAACUGUAUAACUAGAGUACAGGAGAGGAAAGUGGAAUUCCUAGUGUAGCGGUGAAAUGCGUAGAUAUUAGGAGGAACACCAGUGGCGAAGGCGACUUUCUGGACUGUAACUGACGUUGAGGCUCGAAAGCGUGGGGAGCGAACAGGAUUAGAUACCCUCGUAGUC
rnacentral:rRNA from 1 species